rnacentral:tRNA from 2 species
CACACUAGAGUUUUUGGAACACCCACUUUGGGGGUGGGAGGUAAUGGUGUGA